GGGAGUGUAGCUCAGUGGUAGAGCACUUGUGUAGCAUUCGUGAGGUCCUGGGUUCAAUCCCUAGUGCUUAUA
rnacentral:tRNA from 1 species